rnacentral:misc_RNA from 1 species
GACAGAGGGUGCGAACGUUGCUCGGAAUUACUGGGCGUAAAGCGCGUGUAGGCGGAUUGGAAAGUCAGAUGUGAAAUCCCUGGGCUCAACCCAGGAACUGCAUUUGAAACUUCCAGUCUAGAGUACCGGAGAGGGAAGUGGAAUUCCUGGUGUAGAGGUGAAAUUCGUAGAUAUCAGGAGGAACACCGGUGGCGAAGGCGGCUUCCUGGACGGUAACUGACGCUGAGACGCGAAAGCGUGGGGAGCAAACAGG